GAGAGGAAGAAGUCCUUGCAAUUUCUCAAAUGUGUCUAAUUCACCGUCCAGGUGUUUGGGGACCAGGUUUCCGGCAGGAGAACCCCAGUUGCCCCAGCAGUGCCAUGUCUAGAGAGACGUGGCCUUUCUUUGUAUCACCUUUUGGGGGCACUUAAAGUUGCCUACUCCCUAAGAUUCCCAGAUAAUGUUCCAAGUCCCAGCCUUGUCCUCCUCAAGGCUUAUGGUUUGAACUUUUGUCCUGAGUGGUUCCCUGUAUCCUGGAAGAAUAAUACACUGUCUACGGCUGCAAA